UGCCAACCGGGUGUCUGCACUAAGUUCAGCAUCAACAUGGUGACCUCCUGGGAGCAGGGGGCCACCAGGUUGCCUAAGGAUGAAUGAACUGGCCCAGAUCACAAAGGGAACAGGUCAGGACUCCCGCACUGACAAGUAGUGGGACUGUGCCUGGGCA
rnacentral:SRP_RNA from 1 species